GCCCCCAUGGCAUGGCCAGCACUGUUGGUUAGAGUGUGGUACUACGGAUGCCAAGGUUGCAGGUUUCAUCCUCGUUUGGGGCA